UGGCGGACGGGUGAGUAAUGUCUGGGAAACUGCCCGAUGGCGGGGGAUAACUACUGGAAACGGUAGCUAAUACCGCAUAACGUCGCAAGACCAAAGAGGGGACCUUCGGGCCUCUUGCCAUCGGAUGUGCCCAGAUGGGAUUAGCUAGUAGGUGGGGUAACGGCUCACCUAGGCGACGAUCCCUAGCUGGUCUGAGAGGAUGACCAGCCACACUGGAACUGAGACACGGCCCAG
rnacentral:rRNA from 1 species